rnacentral:rRNA from 1 species
AUUGAACGCUGGCGGCAUGCCUUACACAUGCAAGUCGAACGGUAACAGGUCUUCGGAUGCUGACGAGUGGCGAACGGGUGAGUAAUACAUCGGAACGUGCCUAGUAGUGGGGGAUAACUACUCGAAAGAGUGGCUAAUACCGCAUGAGAUCUACGGAUGAAAGCAGGGGAUCGCAAGACCUUGUGCUACUAGAGCGGCCGAUGGCAGAUUAGGUAGUUGGUGGGAUAAAAGCUUACCAAGCCGACGAGCUGUAGCUGGUCUGAGAGGACGAUCAUCCACACUGGGACUGAGACACGGCCCAGACUCCUACGGGAGGCAGCAGUGGGGAAUUUUGGACAAUGGGCGCAAGCCUGAUCCAGCAAUGCCGCGUGCAGGAUGAAGGCCUUCGGGUUGUAAACUGCUUUUGUACGGAACGAAAAGCCCUGGGUUAAUAUCCUGGGGUCAUGACGGUACCGUAAGAAUAAGCACCGGCUAACUACGUGCCAGCCGCCGCAGUAACAC